rnacentral:rRNA from 1 species
UACGUAGGGUGCGAGCGUUAAUCGAAAUUACUGGGCGUAAAGGGUGCGCAGGCGGUUAUAUAAGACAGAUGUGAAAUCCCCGGGCUCAACCUGGGAACUGCGUUUGUGACUGUAUGACUAGAGUACGGUAGAGAGGGGUGGAAUUCCUGGUGUAGCAGUGAAAUGCGUAGAUAUCAGGAGGAACAUCGAUGGCGAAGGCAGCCCCUUGGACCUGUACUGACGCUCAUGCACGAAAGCGUGGGGAGCAAACAGG